CUUUCCUUUCCUUUCUUUCAGAGUAUAGUUAGAUCUGGACCUCAUUGUGCUUUCACAAACAAUGCCAGUGCAUUCUGUAACUUUCAAGACAGACGGUCCUUGUUCUAUAGAAUUUUCUGCCACCAUUACAAUCCAUGACAAUGGCGUAUUUAAGUCUUUCCUUUUUUCAGUUUGAAAAAAACUGAAGUUUCGUGGCAGACGUAUUUUUUUCUUAAAAUGUACUGUAUUUUCAGUAUGUUUUAUAUAUACUGUGAGGAAGCCCAAGAGAGCCUUGUGGAGAGGCCACUCCCUGCAGGAGAACUGAAGAACCUGGCUAAAAUCCAGAAUCAAAACCUUAGGGAUAUGAUUUCAGUCAAGCUAUCCCAGCUAAAGCUCCAGACAUCACUGAGCAGAUAUAAGCCAUCCCUGUCCAAAUUCCUGGCCCACACUGUUGUGAGCAAGUGAAAUGGUUGUUGUUUGAGCCAUUAGAUUUGGGGCUGGUGUGUUAUGUAGCAAUAAGAACAGAAACAAGCACUUUAUAUCAUAUAGGUUGCCAGGUAAACAUGUCCCAAAUGUUGUUAUCCACUAGGAAUACUAUUUUUUUAUCCAGAUUGCUCAAAGAUGCAGAUUCAGCUGUUUACUUUAUUCUUCUUGCACCCUUUUCUCACUUAAUUCUCACAUCCCCAUUUUCUGUGUGAGAAACCACAACCCAUACCUCCUCUCUAUCUUGGCCCCUGCUUUGCUUCUUAUUGAGCUAAAAGUAGAAGAGGGUGUGGGGCCACACUGUCAGGCUCUCGGCUGAUCUGCAAGGGGAUUUCCCACUUCCAGUAACUAUGGGGGUUGCCUACCAGAAAGAGUUACAAAAACGAUGCUUUGUUAUUUUUUUCUCAUGUGCUUUGUUGUUAUUACAAUUUUAUAGUGGUUAAUCUACCAAUUAGAUAACUGAUCUAAAGAUAAUGAAGAGAUGACUGUCGUUGGUGUUCCUUACUAUAUACAACCAGAGAACUGAGACCGUACACUUGAUGAAAGUAAGAAAGUAGGACAGCAGGUUGCUGAGAAAAUGGCUGUCCUGGCUGUGCUGCCACGGGCUGAGUGAUCACUGAGAGUGAGGACACAAAGGCCACAUGAUGAACAGGAAAUGCAAACCUUUCAACUGGUUGGGCAGUCACCUGUAAAUUAACGGUCAUGAGUGAUGAAGUGGUUUUCACAUGAUAAAUUACAGUCAGUAGCAAAUUCAUCUUAGGCCAAGUGUAAUAUGUAAUAAUAAGCGUAAAAAUAUGCUUAAUAUGUGAAAUUAAUUUUCUUAAAAUAUUUCCCCCUGAUCAAAUUCAUGAAGCACUGUUAUAAAUAUUCAAAGAAAAUCACAUUUUAUACCAAUAAAUAAUUUUUUAGAAGA